GGGCGAGUAGCUCAGUACGGAUAGAGCACCAGCCUCCUAAGUUGGGGGUCGAGGGUUCAAAUCCCUCCCCGCCCGCCA
rnacentral:tRNA from 3 species